AGGGAUCUGCGAGCAAAUCAACAAUGUCAUUGACAUCAAAUACAUCAUCCUCGGUGUUGUCGUAAAAGCCAUCUUCAUCCUGGUUCUGGCUGAUCCAAUAGUCACGGUACCAAGUUGUUGUCGUAACCAGUUUCCACCAUUCGGGUGAGAAAUCCUCCACUUGGCGAUAAACAGCCGGAACAAACAGAGGGGCAUUGGGGUUCAAUGUUGACGAUCCUCCAGCAACUAGAGCCAUUCUACCAAUCUUGUUUACUUAUCCCUUU
rnacentral:lncRNA from 1 species